rfam:Ovis aries breed Texel chromosome 11, whole genome shotgun sequence.
ACCCUGGUGGUCCAAUGAUUAGGACUCUACACUUUCACUGCCAAGGGCCCAGGUUCAAUUCCUGGUCAGGGAA